rnacentral:rRNA from 1 species
AGCGAACGCUGGCGGCAGGCUUAACACAUGCAAGUCGAGCGGGCACUUUCGGGUUUCCGCGGCGGACGGGUGAGUAACGCGGGGGAACGUGCCCUCUGGUUCAGAAUAACUCAGGGAAACUUGAGCUAAUACCGGAUACGCCCUUUUGGGGAAAGGCUUGCUGCCGGAGGAUCGGCCCGCGUCUGAUUAGCUAGUUGGUGAGGUAACGGCUCACCAAGGCGACGAUCAGUAGCUGGUCUGGGAGGAUGAUCAGCCACACUGGGACUGAGACACGGCCCAGACUCCUACGGGAGGCAGCAGUGGGGAAUAUUGGACAAUGGGCGCAAGCCUGAUCCAGCCAUGCCGCGUGAGUGAUGAAGGCCUUAGGGUUGUAAAGCUCUUUUAUCCGGGACGAUAAUGACGGUACCGGAGGAAUAAGCCCCGGCUAACUUCGUG